rnacentral:rRNA from 1 species
GGUGUGAAUACCUUGGCUUAACCAAGGAAGGGCAUUUGAAACUGCUUGGCUUGAGUACGGGAGGGGGAAGCGGAAUUCCCGGUGUAGAGGUGAAAUUCGUAGAUAUCGGGAGGAAGACCGGUGGCGAAGGCGGCUUCCUGGACCGAUACUGACGCUGAGACGCGAAAGCGUGGGGAGCAAACAGGAUUAGAUACCCUGGUAGUCCACGCCCUAAACGUUGGGCACUAGGUGUUGCGGGUAUUGACCCCUGCAGUGCCAAGGGCGAAUUCCACAGUGGAUA